GCUCAGAUUGAACGCUGGCGGCAGGCUUAACACAUGCAAGUCGAGCGGUAGCACAGGGGAGCUUGCUCCCUGGGUGACGAGCGGCGGACGGGUGAGUAAUGUCUGGGAAACUGCCUGAUGGAGGGGGAUAACUACUGGAAACGGUAGCUAAUACCGCAUAACGUCGCAAGACCAAAGAGGGGGACCUUCGGGCCUCUUGCCAUCAGAUGUGCCCAGAUGGGAUUAGCUAGUAGGUGGGGUAAUGGCUCACCUAGGCGACGAUCCCUAGCUGGUCUGAGAGGAUGACCAGCCACACUGGAACUGAGACACGGUCCAGACUCCUACGGGAGGCAGCAGUGGGGAAUAUUGCACAAUGGGCGCAAGCCUGAUGCAGCCAUGCCGCGUGUGUGAAGAAGGCCUUCGGGUUGUAAAGCACUUUCAGCGAGGAGGAAGGUGGUGAGCUUAAUACGCUCAUCAA
rnacentral:rRNA from 1 species